UACGUAGGGUGCGAGCGUUGUCCGGAAUUAUUGGGCGUAAAGAGCUCGUAGGCGGUCUGUCGCGUCGGUCGUGAAAACUUGGGGCUUAACCCUGAGCUUGCGGUCGAUACGGGCAUGACUGGAGUUCGGCAGGGGAGACUGGAAUUCCUGGUGUAGCGGUGAAAUGCGCAGAUAUCAGGAGGAACACCAGUGGCGAAGGCGGCUAUCUGGACGGUUUCUGACGCUAAGACGCGAAAGCGUGGGGAGCAAACAGG
rnacentral:rRNA from 1 species